rnacentral:lncRNA from 1 species
UGUUGGACAGCUUAAGCACCCCCACAUUUACCAUGUUGUCUGGGUGACUCUCAUUCCCAGUCUCUGAACUAUUCUUAAUCCAAAGAUCUUCCUAUCCAGAAGGGAGACUAGAAGUUGAGCUGCUUAGAGGAGUACUGCAAACUGCAAACCUGCUCUUCUGGCUCAGGUGGAGACUACUGCAGACAGGAAUACUUUGCUUUUGCCAAGAGAGGAUUUUGGCUUCAGCCUCCAUUUUGCUAUUGUUUUUCCAACUGUGAACUCUUGACACUCUCACAAAAAUCUGAAGGUGGAUGUAACACUGGAGAGGUGUGUAAGGACAGAUGACUAAUACUAGGAGGAUGCAGUAUCACUGAUUUUCAGCAAGUCCCUGAAGUGAAGAAAAGCUAUCCAGAUUAUAAUAGGAUCUUGCCUAUUCU